CACACAAAAACACAUUCCCUGUGGUGAGGCUGAUUCAAUAUUCUACCAGCUGAUUUAUGCAGAACAAUUCUCCACAGGAAUGGCUGGAGCCAGAGAGAGGAGGGGGUAAAAAACAUCUCAAAAAAGACUGGUCUAGGCCCAUGCGUUCCCAGGAUCCAUUUCAACAUUAGGCUGUAUCACUGAAAGUAUAGCCUGUGUUCUGACCGUCAGGCAGGUGUCAUUACUGCACUUCAUUUGCAAGUGCAGUUCUUUUGCGCUUCCUUGAAUUCUCUUGGAUCUACUUUGCUGCGGUCGUUCUGGGAUACGGCUCAGUCUUUAGGUUUAAUGCCGUCUGGAGAUUUUGUUUCAGCACAUCUUAAAGAUAACACUUCCAUGGAGCUUCUUCAGUCCCUACACUACCACAUAUUCCCAUCACGCCAUGUCACCCAGACAGCUGUGCUUAACCUCCCUCUGGCCUUUUUGCACAGCUGCAAGUGGGCUCUUUUACCCCUGUCUCACCCAUGAGUGGGCCUGCGAAUGCGAGUACAUGUGACAGAGGAGUGGACAGCUCCCAUUCUGCUUCCUAACAGCCCUUGUUGUUUCUUCGCCACUCAGAGACUCACAGCAGAAGUUCACACAAUGCCACGCUGUGUCAGACGGGCCAGAGCAAAACUGUGCUGUUUCUAGACAGCCUCCAGCGUAAAACAAACACAGACUGAUGGGAACAGACUGAUGAAAUGUCUCCAUUAUGACAUUAUAUUUUCUUGAGAAGCCGUGGUUUUGUAAGAUCCACGUCUAUCAUGGAUUAAAGCUUGCAGAAAUAGCAUAUGUUCCACUCAGUAUUGGUGAUAGUCUCUCUUGUUGUCUACACAGGGGUGAUUGAACUGCCUUUAUGCUGAUAUGGCGAUUCAUACAUUCCACAGGAAGAAGUUAUUAAAAUCCCUUUCAUUUUAAGCUAUAUUGCCCUGUCUUUCCAGAGAAAAUACCCGUCCUCUUUGAGAUGAAAAAUCUGCAGAGAGAAAAUGAAUUGGCAGGUUGCUUCCCCCGGGGUCUCCUCUAUCAGCUAGUGCAGUGGGUGACAAAAUGCAGCGCAUGUGUUCCCAAUACAAACCUUAUUCCAUCUGUGGCCCUAUCAGCCAGGAAAUGACAUAUUUAUCAGAGCAGUGUGGCCUCGCAGGCAGCAGAAAGCAUAGAGGCUGCUGACUGUGAAAUCUCCCAGAAUUAACUGGGGCUGUCCUUUUCUCCCUCCACAUUACUGUUCCCUGAGGGCCUUGGCGGUUCAAAGUAUCCUGCGUCAGAUUGCUUUCCUAUUUGUUGUGCUGCAUACAAUUGAUAACAUUUGUUUUGACCAAAUAAAUGCACUAAAAUAAUAAAUGCUUUCGUUUAAGCAUGCAAAACUGUGCUGGAAAAUAAAGAAGUCACUGGACCAACUGUAAUCUUUUGCUAUCUGAAUUAUUUCAUCAAACAAAUGUGUAAGUAAGACGUGGAAUGAAAAGACAUGCAAAGUGUUGCAGGAAUUGUUGAGAUGAAAGAUCUAGCACUGAGAUUGAAUAAACCAUUAAACCAUGCCAGGGACGAAACUGUAUGCUAUCAGUGCUCAAGCAUUUUAAAACAGCCUGAGGAAAUUGUUUCUAAUAUUGUCGCAGGUUUUUUUUUUGUUUGUUUUUUUUUUCUCCAGGAAACUUAUGCAUGAGAGCCUAAAACAGAAAACAUGUAUUUUUGGACCAUGAUGUUGUUAGACUGCAGCUAAAUGGUUUAAAAUUGUUGC